GUGAGGAAUAUUGCGCAAUGGAGGCAACUCUGACGCAGCCAUGCCGCGUACAGGAAGAAGGCGCUACGCGUUGUAAACUGCUUUUAACCGGGAAGAAACCCCAGGACGUGUCCUGGGUUGACGGUACCGGAGGAAUAAGCACCGGCUAACUUCGUGCCAGCAGCCGCGGUAAUACGAAGGGUGCAAGCGUUAUCCGGAUUCAUUGGGUUUAAAGGGUGCGUAGGCGGAGCGUUAAGUCAGUGGUGAAAUCCUGCAGCUUAACUGUAGACUUGCCAUUGAUACUGGCGCUCUUGAGUGCGCUUGAAGUGGGCGGAAUGUGCCGUGUAGCGGUGAAAUGCUUAGAUAUGGCACAGAACACCAAUUGCGAAGGCAGCUCACUAAGGCGAUACUGACGCUGAGGCACGAAAGCGUGGGGAUCGAACAGGAUUAGAUACCCGGGUAGUCC
rnacentral:rRNA from 1 species